rnacentral:rRNA from 1 species
UCGGAGUGCUUGCACUCUGUGAAACAAGAUACAGGCUAGCGGCGGACGGGUGAGUAACACGUGGGUAACCUGCCUAAGAGAUCGGGAUAACACCUGGAAACAGAUGCUAAUACCGGAUAACAACAGAUGAUGCCUAUCAACUGUUUAAAAGAUGGUUCUGCUAUCACUCUUGGAUGGACCUGCGGUGCAUUAGCUAGUUGGUAGGGUAACGGCCUACCAAGGCGAUGAUGCAUAGCCGAGUUGAGAGACUGAUCGGCCACAUUGGGACUGAGACACGGCCCAAACUCCUACGGGAGGCAGCAGUAGGGAAUCUUCCACAAUGGACGCAAGUCUGAUGGAGCAACGCCGCGUGAGUGAAGAAGGGUUUCGGCUCGUAAAGCUCUGUUGUUGGUGAAGAAGGACAGGGGUAGUAACUGACCUUUGUUUGACGGUAAUCAAUUAGAAAGUCACGGCUAACUACGUGCCAGCAGCCGCGGUAAUACGUAGGUGGCAAGCGUUGUCCGGAUUUAUUGGGCGUAAAGCGAGUGCAGGCGGCUCGAUAAGUCUGAUGUGAAAGCCUUCGGCUCAACCGGAGAAUUGCAUCAGAAACUGUCGAGCUUGAGUACAGAAGAGGAGAGUGGAACUCCAUGUGUAGCGGUGAAAUGCGUAGAUAUAUGGAAGAACACCGGUGGCGAAGGCGGCUCUCUGGUCUGUUACUGACGCUGAGGCUCGAAAGCAUGGGUAGCGAACAGGAUUAGAUACCCUGGUAGUCCAUGCCGUAAACGAUGAGUGCUAAGUGUUGGGAGGUUUCCGCCUCUCAGUGCUGCAGCUAACGCAUUAAGCACUCC